GAUGAACGCUGGCGGCGUGCCUAAUACAUCCAGGUCGAGCGAACAGAUGAGGAGCUUGCUCCUCUGACGUUAGCGGCGGACGGGUGAGUAACACGUGGAUAACCUACCUAUAAGACCGGGAUAACUUCGGGAAACCGGAGCUAAUACCGGAUAAUAUAUUGAACCGCAUGGUUCAAUAGUGAAAGACGGUUUUGCUGUCACUUAUAGAUGGAUCCGCGCCGCAUUAGCUAGUUGGUAAGGUAACGGCUUACCAAGGCAACGAUGCGUAGCCGACCUGAGAGGGUGAUCGGCCACACUGGAACUGAGACACGGUCCAGACUCCUACGGGAGGCAGCAGUAGGGAAUCUUCCGCAAUGGGCGAAAGCCUGACGGAGCAACGCCGCGUGAGUGAUGAAGGUCUUCGGAUCGUAAAACUCUGUUAUUAGGGAAGAACAAAUGUGUAAGUAACUAUGCACGUCUUGACGGUACCUAAUCAGAAAGCCACGGCUAACUACGUG
rnacentral:rRNA from 1 species